rnacentral:rRNA from 1 species
UACGAAGGGGGCUAGCGUUGCUCGGAAUCACUGGGCGUAAAGGGUGCGUAGGCGGGUCUUUUAAGUCAGGGGUGAAAUCCUGGAGCUCAACUCCAGAACUGCCUUUGAUACUGAGGAUCUUGAGUCCGGGAGAGGUGAGUGGAACUGCGAGUGUAGAGGUGAAAUUCGUAGAUAUUCGCAAGAACACCAGUGGCGAAGGCGGCUCACUGGCCCGGUACUGACGCUGAGGCACGAAGGUCAGGGGAGCAAACGGGG